rnacentral:lncRNA from 10 species
CCACGUGCCCAUCCCUGGAGACCAGGAGUGAGAUCUGCUCUACGCCAACCACAUGAACUAUGAGACAGGGGAAUAGUGGCCCCUAAAGGAAAAUCUAGGUGCUAUUACCAGAAAAGAAGGAAAGAAAUGUUGAGCAGACAAAAACAGCAGAGGUCUGCACAGAUGGGAAGAUGCUUUCUUUAUGCUGACACUGGGGAUAAAAUAAAUGCUCAAAGAAGGCACAGUACAAAAACUUACUCAGGUAGGAUAUAUAGUGAAGCUUUUAGACUAAGUCGUUGCCAGUGAUUAACGGAAGCUUUUUCUUAGUCAUUUCAUCUUUCAAAAUAGAGGGGAAACUGGGAGUCUGGAAUUAGCACUCAUUGUUUGACUGUUCAAAGGCCUGGUAUAGUUUGAUGCUCAGGUACCUCAUAUUCAACAAGAAAUGAAAACCUUGGAGUGAGAAGGACCCUCUUUCACCCUCCUCUGUGCUGUGGGAUGCCAAGGCUUACAGAGCACCACAACUCCCCCAGCCUCUGGCUUCCGCUUGCUCUCAGCUGCUGGAGUUCUGGCUGGAGACGGAAGGGCGGGAGGAAAGUGAGGCUGGAGUGUUUGUUCCCAAGGCGACCUUCCUGCAAAACCACAGCUCCUUUCAGGGAGCCUUCUCGCACAGCUACGGCGACCCUUGCAGCUCUGCCUGGGUUCUGACCCAGUGCCCAGGAAUUCUUCCAGUGAAAUCCAACUUGAUUUCAAAAUAGAAAAACUGGAUUCCCUUCACAGACUCUUUGCUUGGCUACAAACUGUUGAAGCAACCGUGCUUCCUUCAGAGAGGCGGGUUGUCCAGUGCAGAGAUGAAGAGCUGGCUGCAGAGACAGGCCUUUCGGGUUUGAAUCAGGCUUCGCAGUCUCUCGAGCUGCAGGUUCGUGGGCAAGCAAGGGAACCACUCAAGGUUCAACUUUCUCAUCUGUAAAAUGAAGAUCAUGACAGUACCUAUCUCCUGUUAGUUUGUUGUGGGAUCGUGUUAAAUAAGUUAACAUAGUAAAGCAUUUCGACUAAUGUGCUAACAUAAACCUAGUAUGACAUAAAACCUAACGUUUUAUUUUCUCAAUAAGUACUAGCUGCUGCUGCUUGUUGCUGUAACAAAAAAAAAAAAUAACAUCUAACUUCU